GAUGAACGCUGGCGGCGUGCCUAAUACAUGCAAGUCGAACGCACAGCGAAAGGUGCUUGCACCUUUCAAGUGAGUGGCGAACGGGUGAGUAACACGUGGACAACCUGCCUCAAGGCUGGGGAUAACAUUUGGAAACCAGAUGCUAAUACCGAAUAAAACUCAGUGUCGCAUGACACAAAGUUAAAAGGCGCUUUGGCGCCACCUAGAGAUGGAUCCGCGGUG
rnacentral:rRNA from 1 species